rnacentral:lncRNA from 1 species
GCGGCAGUGCGGCACCUGUGGCUGGGCGCCAUUAAGCGUGGGCGGAGCCUGCUCGGCUGCCGUCUGGCUUAGUAGCGGGUCCUGUAUCGCUGGCCGCUGGACCCGGGCUGCGGCCCGAAACACCAGGAUGUUUGCGAAUCCUUUUAUGGGACCACGGAAGGAUGAGCGGGGGCCACAGCACGUCCAGCGUGGUGUCAAGCUUAAGUUUUAUUACUGCGCAACGGAACAAAAUGCGAUAGACUAUCGUGGAGCAGAAAUUGCGGGCCUUCGUUUGCUUCUCAGGUUCCCAUGGACUGCAACAUGCUUCUCCCCGUGGGUUACAAACGAUUGGAGUCGCAGGGAAUGCCCACCAAGGGAACAUUUGUUUGGGCGUGUUUGGACUUAGCCGCUGUCCUUUUGUGGAAAAUACUUAGAAAAUCAAAUUUGUCAACCUGAGAAUCAUUGGGGAAACUUCCCUUGCUCCUGGAACAGUACAGAAACGAACCCACUGUUACAUUUAACAGUGAUUUGGAGGUGCUGUAUAAUGUAAUCACUUUGUGUGAUAAUGCUGAAGUAAGAUCUCAUGUGAGGGAGGCACCGGACAGUGGGACUAGAGAUAAGUCCACUAUGUUACCUAGCGGACAUGAGGAAUGGUUGAGCAAAAGAACUCAGUGUAUCUAAGCCUCUGAAGCAUUACAUCCUGUGUCAGUGGUGGCGAACCUUUUAGAGCCAAGUGCCCAACCUGCGAUCCACAGUCCACUCAUCACAAAGUGCCGACAUUGCAAUUAAACCCUAAUACCGAGGUUUUAGUUUAGCAAAAGCAAGUCACACAUUAACAUCUUGUGUCUUAAAAACAGAAUGCAUACCAUAGGUUUGCCACCACUGCCUAUAUCAUCCAAAAAAUUUUCACACAGAAACUCCUUCAGAUAUGUCAGUAGGGGCCAGGGAUAUAACUCAGUGCACAAGCACCUGCCUGGCAAGCAUAAGGUCCUGAGUUCAAUUCCCGGUACAAAAAAAAAAAAAACAACCAACAGAUAUGUCAGUAAUUUCUAAGUGGGAGUACAGGCAUGUGCCACCAUAUCUAGCUCACUGAAUUCACUCAAGAAUGGUUGAUAGGUCAGAUAUUAUUAAACCAGUUUCAGAAAUGAUUAAACAGGCAGAGAGGGUAAAUGACCAACUCAAGGUCACACUGAUGUAUUAGGGGAGAACAAAAACCUGCUUUCCCCCUUGACUCCUCCCUCUGCCUCAGCCCCUAUACCCAAAUACUGAACGCCCUGAGUAUGUUUCACUUUUCGGUAUCAUCUCUAUUUUUCUUCAUUCCCAUUUCCGAUAUCCAAACCUAGGUCCUCGUCUUACUUUUCUCAUUGCUGAGGCAAAACACCCAACUCCCAAAGUUAAAGAGGGGAAGGUUUAGUUAGCUCACAGUUUGCGGAGGUUUCAGUCCACAAUCGACUGGCUCCGAGGCAGGGUGGCACCUGGAAGGCACCAAAAGCAACAAAACAGGAGCAGGGAACAAGCCUGUUUCUGUCCUCUAUGGUGCUUGCAGGCUACCUGCUCUAGGGUGAGUGUAGCACUCACUUCUUUAAUCCCCUCAUUAGACCAUGAAUCAAUCACAAACUCUACAUUCAGCUGCCAACAAAAAGCCCACCCCUCUGACCACAUAAGAUUUUGGGGGACGUCCACACACAAACCGUACCAGUCCUUAUCACAUCUUGUUUUGUUUUGUUUUAUUUUUUGUCUUUCUGAGACAGUGUCUCACUAUGCAGUUCAGGCUGGCCUUGAGCUCACUUUGUAGCCCAGGCUGGUCUUGAACUUGCAAUGAUCCUCCUGCCUCAGCCUCCCCAGUGCUGGGAUUACAGGUGUGUGCCACUUCUUGAUUGGCUAACUUUUCACUUCUUGAUUGGCUAACUAUUAUAGUGCCCUGGAAGCUGCCCUGCAUUUAUUGUCCAUGGUCCUGCUAGAGCAGUCUCAUGUCACUGCUCUGCUCAUGGUCCCUCAGGUAUCUCUGGGACGUGAGGCUGAACUCGAAAUGCCUUUAUGUGGGUCCAGAGCCUGGCACAGCCUGCACCUGCCUCUCUAAGCUCAUCAUCCUCCCUUUCUCUUAACUUUAUCCUCUGCUCAUCCCAAACUUCAGUUCUUAGAACAGUCUAUCUAAUUUGUCUUAGCCUGGAAUACUCUGAGGACUUCUUUCCUCCAUCCCCAUCCCAAUUUUUUUUUUUUU